CAAAUACAAAACAUGUCUUAUUAUACAUAACUGUCGAAAUCUUGAAAUUAUUUCAUAUCAGCAACUUGGAGUGGGCACACCGCAGCUGCUGACAACCUUUCGGGCAUUAGGGGAAUUCACAUACUGCUUGAGAGCUGGAUCUUUGAGAUAACCACAAAGGCAAGGCUGCUGCUCCCGGAGUUUACUGCAACAGGCGGCGGACGGUGGCAGCCCCGACGCUAUUGCCGUCGCACAAGGAUUUAGCUCCGACGCAUUGCAAGUUACCGCUUCAUUCACAUGCAGUUCGCCGAGCAGUAGCACCACCGCCACCAAGUACAGUACUGCACAACCUGUCUUCUUC
rnacentral:lncRNA from 1 species